UACAGAGGGUGCAAGCGUUGUUCGGAAUUAUUGGGCGUAAAGCGCGUGUAGGCGGCUUUGCAAGUCGGGUGUGAAAGCCCUCAGCUCAACUGAGGAAGUGCGCCCGAAACUGCAGAGCUUGAGUACCGGAGAGGAUGGCGGAAUUCCCCAAGUAGAGGUGAAAUUCGUAGAUAUGGGGAGGAACACCGGUGGCGAAGGCGGCCAUCUGGACGGAUACUGACGCUGAAACGCGAAAGCGUGGGUAGCAAACAGG
rnacentral:rRNA from 1 species